UCUAUUGUAAAGUUUAAAAAAUUUGAGUCAGUCAACUAUUUUUUUAAAUAUUUGGAGUGAAGUUUGCAGUAAAUUUGUCCUAAAUCUAAAAAAAAGAAUUAUUUGAGAAAUUAAAAUUAAAAAAAAAUUGUAAAAUACCAACUAAAUAGAAGCUAAUGGUUUUUUUGGUCAAAGAUCUAAACCAAAAUCUGGUCGAAACCUAAUACAAAAACUCAAAGCCCCCAACCCAAUCCAGAAAUCAAACAUACGUUUCCCUCUUCAUUUUUCCACAAAGCUAGACUCUUUAUCUUCCAUUACAGCAAGUUUUCCUCAGCAAGCCAAGCAGAUGAACGGCCGCAUCUUGACGCGAAAGAAUUCCAAAUCAGUGGAUAUAUCUUCGACGCUCAAAGUUCCAAAAUCAAUGGACACAGUUAUCGAAACGUCGGCUGUAUCUUCGUCUUCGUCGGCAGCAUCUUCAUCUCCAUCAACAAACAUCCUCAUUCCUCAUCGUCUUCAUCCCGCCGAAACUUUGGUGGUCUUUGGAGUUUCAAAUCUUUCGUUUCUUUAAAGCUGUCCCUAAUUGCCUUGAGGUCCUCGUUCGUCCAUCGCCAUGACCGCACAUUCCUCGGUUUCAUUUUCAACCCAAACUUAUGAGUCUGGUUGACGCCAAAACCUGGG
rnacentral:lncRNA from 1 species